ACCUGGGUGGCUCAGUCGGUUAAGCGUCUGACUUCAGCUCAGGUCACCAUCUCAGGGCUCGUGAGUUCGAACCCCACAUCAGGCU
rnacentral:tRNA from 1 species